AUAUUGGUGAACGCUGGCCAAGUAAAAUUAGGACUUACGAAGCGAUCAACCGGUGUUCAAAUGUGACAUACAAUUUAACAAUUUUCUUCAAAGAAGCUUAUACCACUCGGAUUUCAUUAAAAUAUCCUGCAUAUGUCACUCUACUGCCUAAGACAGUCACAUUCCUUUUCACGACUAAAAGCAGUCUUAAAAAUGACAGAGCUAAACCAGUAUUUAGGUUUAAAAAGAGUAUUUUAACGCACUGAUAUUUAAUUAAAUGGUAUUUAAAGUAGCUAAACCAGCAGUAAUCACAGAUUAGUGAUUUGCGUUCGGAAUGUGUUGAUUUUGGUUAACGAUCAUUAACAAAAAUGUUAACAUUAUAACGUCACAGGCUCACAGCGUAUUUGAUUCAAAAGGUUACCCGCAAAAUGAGUAAUUUAACAACAGUGAUGGCUCAUGUGCUAUAAAAAUUAACAACAAAAUGUCAAAAUAGAGCGAGCACAUGGUCUCCAGUUACUAUGACGACACAUCAAAACAAGGCAAAUCUGACAUCGCGAAUCUCGAUAUGACACGGCUACGAAGCGUUCUCUUUCGUCGAACGCAAUUAUAAAACAAUUCUACCACUCGCUUUUGUCGUAUAUAUACCAACUGGGUGCUACGCACCUCCGGUCGGCUAUCAACAUCCGGAAUUGUAUUCAGAUAGCUGAGUUCUACACUGAUUGGAUCAAUUCAACUGGUACACAAGUUUUAAAACAUGUUACCUGGCAGGUUAUAUAACUCGAUGUCUAAAUCUGAUCUUUUAUGUCGAUGAAAACAACUGUUCUUUUAAAGGUUUAUGAUGAAAUUUGCAAAACUGUUCAUGAUUUUUGCUGCUGUUUUAUCAGCAUUCGUGUUUAUAUUUAACUACGAAAUGCUGGAUAUUAUUCUUGUGAUGAAAGAAAGAAUUGCAUUCCGUUCCCCAUUCAAAAUGCUAUUCCAAGAGGCUCCAGGGUCAAUUGAUUUGAGGCUAUCCAUUGUAAAAAACGAUGACACUGGAGACAUCGUAAACGAACGUUCAAACGAGCAGGUUCAACAAAGCCACUCUGAUUACCCAACCUAUCACACCUUUGAAGCAAUGCUACACGAUGACACGCAUGCGUCAAACAACAGAGCCUUCCCAGCAUACUCUUCGUGCCCAUAUCGCGGAAUUAGAAAGCCAAGGACAACGAGUGAUUCUAAAACC